rnacentral:rRNA from 1 species
AUGAACGCUGGCGGCGUGCCUAAUACAUGCAAGUCGAGCGAACAGACGAGGAGCUUGCUCCUCUGACGUUAGCGGCGGACGGGUGAGUAACACGUGGAUAACCUACCUAUAAGACUGGGAUAACUUCGGGAAACCGGAGCUAAUACCGGAUAAUAUAUUGAACCGCAUGGUUCAAUAGUGAAAGACGGUUUUGCUGUCACUUAUAGAUGGAUCCGCGCCGCAUUAGCUAGUUGGUAAGGUAACGGCUUACCAAGGCAACGAUGCGUAGCCGACCUGAGAGGGUGAUCGGCCACACUGGAAGUGAGACACGGUCCAGACUCCUACGGGAGGAAGCAGUAGGGACUCUUCCGCAAUGGGCGAAAGCCUGACGGAGCAACGCCGCGUGAGUGAUGAAGGUCCUCGGAUCGUAAAACUCUGUUAUUAGGGAAGAACAAAUGUGUAAGUAACUAUGCACGUCUUGACGGUACCUAAUCAGAAAGCCACGGCUAACUACGUG